rnacentral:rRNA from 1 species
GAUGAACGCUAGCGGGAGGCCUAACACAUGCAAGCCGAGCGGUAUUUCUUCUUCGGGGGAGAGAGAGCGGCGUACGGGUGCGGAACACGUGUGCAACCUGCCUUUAUCUAGAGGAUAGCCUUCCGAAAGGAAGAUUAAUACUCUAUAAUAUAUUAAUUGGCAUCAAUUGAUAUUGAAAACUCCGGUGGAUAGAGAUGGGCACGCGCAAGAUUAGCUAGUUGGUGAGGUAACGGCUCACCAAGGCGACGAUCCCUAGCUGGUUUGAGAGGAUGAUCAGCCACACUGGAACUGAGACACGGUCCAGACUCCUACGGGAGGCAGCAGUGGGGAAUAUUGGACAAUGGGCGAAAGCCUGAUCCAGCCAUGCCGCGUGUGUGAAGAAGGCCUUCGGGUUGUAAAGCACUUUCAGUAGGGAGGAAGAGUUGAGUGUUAAUAGUACUCAGCUUUGACGUUACCUACAGAAGAAGCACCGGCUAACUCUGUGCCAGCAGCCGCAGUAAGAC